rnacentral:rRNA from 1 species
ACCUGGCGGUCGUUUGUGGCCGUCCAGGGGUGUUGCGUUUCGGUGCAUCCUUGCCGCCCGAGUUGCUCACCGCCUAAGUCAUUGCUUGAAAGCAGCCCCAAGGAGGGUGAUAGGCCCGUGUGGCGGCGCCUGUAAAAAGGGUGAAGGCGGCUCGGGCGGGUGGGUGUUCACCGUAGAGUCGGGUUGCUUAGUACUGCAGCCCUAAGCAGGUGGUAAACUCCAUCUAAGGCUAAAUACUACCACGAGUCCGAUAGAGAACAAGUACCGUGAGGGAAAGCUGAAAAGGACUUUGAAGAGAGAGUUCAAUAGGACGUGAAACCGUUAGAAGCUUAAACGGGUGGAACCGCGAAGGUUGAACGAGGGGAUUCAGCUCGCCGGUGCUCGGAGGCUGCGGGUGUUUCGGAGAGUCUUUGACGACCGGACCCGGCACGCAUAUAGGUUCUGUGGCCGGGCUGCGCCCGUGCCUCCGAGUUGCUCGGCGGGCUUACUUCUCCCUCGGGAAGUCGCCGCGACCCGCUUCCGGGAGCCCCAGGGCCGUGCCGCAUUGGUAGCCCGGGC